AGAUUAAUGAUAGAGAUUUGUUAUCUCUUUCAUAGGAUCUCCAAAAAUUUGUUGAGUGAGUAAUCUAAUUUUCCUGAUGUCCAAAUUUCUAGUAGUAGAGUCACUUACUUUGUAAUCUCAAAAUGUGAAAGAGCUCGAAACGGAAUAUUUUUUGAUUCUUUUCAUUCCAGAACACCAAAUAUUGACUACUAGUAGCGCAUCUAAGGCAAGCUUUAGAUCGUGAGAGUUAGUUUGCAGUCGCUAUGAAUCAUAAGGAGUUACAUUUGUCCCCAU
rnacentral:lncRNA from 1 species